AGGUUGUGGCAAUAUAAAUGACUGGAAAACCAAAAUUAUCAAAUUCAUCUACAACAGGUCUCAGCCAGCGAGUAAUCAUGACACCUAUAAUCAAUAAGAUCUACAUCAACAUUUUUAAAAGAGAAGAAGAAAAUCCCAAAGUUCAAAGCUAUUCAUCAUCUUAAAAGUUUCACGG